rnacentral:rRNA from 1 species
CCCUUAGAUGUUCUGGGCCGCACGCGCGCUACACUGACGAAUGCAACGAGCUUAUAACCUUGGCCGAAAGGUCUGGGUAAUCUCCAAAUUUCGUCGUGAUGGGGAUAGAUUAUUGCAAUUAUUAAUCUUCAACGAGGAAUGCCUAGUAAGCGUGAGUCAUCAGCUCACGUUGAUUACGUCCCUGCCCUUUGUACACACCGCCCGUCGCUCCUACCGAUUGAAUGUGCUGGUGAAAAGUUCGGAUUAGGAGUGGGGGAUAGCAAUAUUUCCCGCUUCCGAGAAAAUCUUUAAACCCUCCCAUUUAGAGGAAGGAGAAGUCGUAACA